UUAUAAAACAAAGUAAUAGAA
rnacentral:piRNA from 1 species